rnacentral:rRNA from 1 species
CAAUAGCGUAUAUUAAAGUUGUUGCAGUUAAAAAGCUCGUAGUUGGAUUUCUGGUUGAAGCGACCGGUCGGGCGUUGAUUCGUCUGCACUGGAGUCGGUUUUGGCCAUCCUCUAGGAAAGUGCGUCUGGUAUUAAGUUUUCGGGCGUAUGAUCCUGGUCUUUUACUGUGAAAAAAUUAGAGUGUUUAAAGCAGGCCUUCGCCUUGAAUACAUUAGCAUGGAAUAAUAAGAUAGGACUUUGGUCUAUUUUGUUGGUUUGCAGACCGAAGUAAUGAUUAAUAGGGAUAGUUGGGGGUAUUUAUAUUCCGAUGUCAGAGGUGAAAUUCUUAGAUUUUCGGAAGAUAAACUUAUGCGAAAGCAUUUACCAAGGAUGUUUUCAUUAA